rnacentral:rRNA from 1 species
UACAGAGACUGCAAGCGUUAUUCGGAAUUACUGGGCUUAAAGGGUGCGUAGGCGGUGCAGCAAGUCGGGAGUGAAAUCCCACAGCUCAACUGUGGAAUUGCUUUCGAUACUGCUGUGCUUGAGUGAGACAGAGGUAAGCGGAACUUAGGGUGGAGCGGUGAAAUGCGUUGAUAUCCUAAGGAACACCGGUGGCGAAGGCGGCUUACUGGGUCUCUACUGACGCUGAUGCACGAAAGCCAGGGUAGCGAACGGG